ensembl:lncRNA
CUUUUUUUCCGGAGGAGUGAUGAACUAAUCCAGCAGCUCAGAUGAAGCUGCGCCGGAGCAAGUUCAAGUUUUUCGAUGUGUUGCUAUGGUGAUUUAGACGAACCUGCUUCGGGGAACCAAAAAGCCUGAUCUACGUCAUCUCAUCCUGAAAAGUAUCCGGCUAACUCAGUUAGCCACGUACGAGGAACAGGGCUCAUAACUUUUACAACUAGUAGUGUAUCUUUACUCACGUCCGUUGACGGUUCCCCUUUAUUUCAUGGAGAUGUCCACUGAUGUCCAACUCGAGCGGCCCGUUCGGUGUCGUGUUGGUCUUACAGAAGCUGCGUCAUUGUUUCACACUUAACUGUGUUUAAUUAACGAGUAACGACUUCCACCUGGAACUCAAUUAGCCUGCAGUACUCGUUUCGGCCACACGGAUAGGGCUAUAAACCAAGAGGGGCGCUGUUUCACUCAUAUCUAGUAAUCGUGCCCUAGAUAUUUCUCCAUCCUUGUCAGACCCACUCGCAGGUC